GAUGAACGCUGGCGGCGUGCCUAAUACAUGCGAGUCGAGCGAACGGACGAGAAGCUUGCUUCUCUGAUGUUAGCGGCGGACGGGUGAGUAACACGUGGAUAACCUACCUAUAAGACUGGGAUAACUUCGGGAAACCGGAGCUAAUACCGGAUAAUAUUUUGAACCGCAUGGUUCAAAAGUGAAAGACGGUCUUGCUGUCACUUAUAGAUGGAUCCGCGCUGCAUUAGCUAGUUGGUAAGGUAACGGCUUACCAAGGCAACGAUGCAUAGCCGACCUGAGAGGGUGAUCGGCCACACUGGAACUGAGACACGGUCCAGACUCCUACGGGAGGCAGCAGUAGGGAAUCUUCCGCAAUGGGCGAAAGCCUGACGGAGCAACGCCGCGUGAGUGAUGAAGGUCUACGGAUCGUAAAACUCUGUUAUUAGGGAAGAACAUAUGUGUAAGUAACUGUGCACAUCUUGACGGUACCUAAUCAGAAAGCCACGGCUAACUACGUG
rnacentral:rRNA from 1 species